rnacentral:lncRNA from 1 species
CUGGCUUUUCUCAGUGUGGUUUGUGUUGUAACCCUAACAGUCUGUGAGGGUGGUACACAUGGUAAUCUUUGCUGAGCAUAUCCUGAACGUCUGAUGUUUGUUUUGCUGGUUUUGAACUCUCACAUUCUGGAAAGAAAAGGGAAGUAGAAAGACAGCUGGGCAGCACAGACAUUUAUUUUACCUUCAUGUUUCCUUGUGCCCUGGCUGGGUGCACGACACAUUAAAUCCAUCAUCUUGGCAACAAUGUAUGUGGUCACAUGCCACCCUGGCUCUCUGGUCUGUCUGACAAAUACAUCAUUAGGAAUAUUUUUGGCUGCGGUGCAUCUGACACUCCACAAAAAAAGGUUUCUUGAUUGAAGGUUCUUGUACUGUAAAGAGACCUGCUGCAUCAUAAGAAAUUCUAACUUCAGUACAUCUGGAUCAGGAUGGGAAAAUCUACUAGCAAAUAUACUGCAGGCAAGAAACCCUAAACUAUUUAAAUGGUCCAACUCUUGUUCCUUCUUUAGUCAUACCAAGCUAUUUCCACCUCCAUACUGCUUCUAUAUCAGCAGACAGAGCACUGCGAGCAUGGAAGAGAGUUUCUCUGCUGUCUGUUCCAGUACCCAAUGCCACAGUGAUUUGGGCCAGUAAUCAAUCAUAACUGGGGUGGAGUAUGCUCAGGCAGAAUUUCUGGAGAAAUUAGCUGUCAAAACUACAAGCCAGGUCCUAUUCUAUCUAUAUAGGGUCUAAGUAAGAUCCAAG